UCCCAGCGAGGACAGCAGCUAGGCAGCUCUACUGGGGAAGGGAAGGAAGGAGGGGAAAUACGAGCCCUUCCCAGAGACUAUCUCGGCGCCAGGGGAACACCCCACACGUCCUUCCCUCUCCGGCAGAGAGGAAGAUUUCCUGCGGAGGUGGAAGGGGGAGGGAAAGGACGRGAAGGCAGAGCUGCCCCUGUCCUCCCCACUUUGGUGUCAGCUUCCCGCCGCGCCCCGGGCAGGGAGCGGUGGAGGAGGGACGCGGCGCCAGGUCCGGCUCCCUCCUCGCCUGUCAGGCCCCCUCCCUCCCUCCUUCCCUCCCGCGGCCGCUCACCUGCCACCACCGCCGGCUCUCCGACCGCGGAGCCGGCCGACAGCCACCACUGGGAGACCCCGGCCCGCCCCAAUGGUCGCGGCGCUCCCGCCCGGCAGCUUCUCCCUGCGCCCGAACCGCCUCAGGAGCAGCCGGCCCCCCGCCGCUCCCGUUUCAGGAGGAAGCAGCCACCAUGUUACUUUCUCCCCCGCAAACGCCUACAGGCGGCUCCAGGGCCCGCCCCGAAAGGAGGCGGUGGCGGCGGCCGGGCCAAGGGAGCGCCGCGCUGCGGCCAGGGGGCGCCCGAGCGCAACAGCUGCGUGGAGCCGUUAGCGGCGUCACAGAGGGCGGUGGCGCUGCGCCGCCCGUUGGCCGUUGGCCGUUGGCGGCGGCCGCCCGCGCGCGCCCGGGCCGGCGGCGCGAGCGGGUGCGUUCGGGAGGGGGCUGCUGCGGCGCGGCGCGUCCCUCCGGGCAGGGGUCGUCGGGGCCGGUCCGCGGUGUUGGGGCGGGCCUUCUAYCCCGGGGGGGGCUUGGGGGGCCUGCGAGUGGUCGGUUGGUACCGGAAAAUAAGUGAUGGGGAACACGGUGAGCCGUUUCAGCCACCUGCCGAGGCAAGGCUCCUCGCUUUGCAAGUGAUUCUCGCUGUCCAAAUGGUGCUAGGCCCAUUCUGUGGAAGGCAGGAAGCUGCCUGGUAUGAACGCGUCAGCAGGGACAUGCCCAGGCCCCGGGGAGGGAUUUUCACACCCCUGGGGUCCCGCUCGGUGAGCAGGGGCCUGCUGGAAGGGCUCUUCCACCCCUGUGCCUGGUACCUGGCGGGGCAGGCCCCAGUUCCUCCUGCUCACGACGGGGUGCUCUCUCUUGGCAGAAUGAUUAUUUGA
rnacentral:lncRNA from 1 species